rnacentral:rRNA from 1 species
UACGAAGGGAGCUAGCGUUGUUCGGAAUCACUGGGCGUAAAGAGCGCGUAGGCGGCUAUGUAAGUCAGGGGUGAAAUCCCAGGGCUCAACCCUGGAACUGCCUUUGAAACUACAUAGCUAGAGUUCGUGAGAGGGUGGUGGAAUUCCUAGUGUAGAGGUGAAAUUCGUAGAUAUUAGGAGGAACACCAGUGGCGAAGGCGGCCACCUGGCACGAUACUGACGCUGAGGUGCGAAAGCGUGGGGAGCAAACAGG